CGGGGCGUGGCUCAGUUUGGCUAGAGCGCUUGGUUUGGGACCAAGAGGUCGGCGGUUCAAGUCCGCCCGCCCCGACCA
rnacentral:tRNA from 1 species